rnacentral:rRNA from 1 species
GGAUAACGUAGCGAAAGUUACGCUAAUACCGCAUACGAUCUACGGAUGAAAGUGGGGGACCUUCGGGCCUCAUGCUUUUGGAGCGGCCGAUAUCUGAUUAGCUAGUUGGUAGGGUAAAGGCCUACCAAGGCGACGAUCAGUAGCUGGUCUGAGAGGACGACCAGCCACACUGGAACUGAGACACGGUCCAG